GCAUGCAGCAGAGAUGCGAAUGUUGCGAUGGAUGUGUGGAGUAACGAAAAUGGAUAGAAUACGGAAUGAAUAUGUUAGAGGAAGUCUGAAAGUGGCACCUGUGACAGAGAAGCUGAGGAGUGCGCGUUUGGGAUGGUAUGGACAUGUGAUGAGACGAAAUGAAAAUGAGGUUGGUAAGAGAGGGUUAACUAUGAAUGUGGAAGGAUAUAGAGGAAGAGGUAGACCUAAGAAGAAAUGGAUAGAUUGUGUGAAAGACGAUAUGGGUAAGAGAGGAGUGAGCGAAGAAAUGGUAUAUGAUAGAAGAGUAUGGAAGGAGAAAACAUGUUGCGCCGAUCCCAGGUGACUGGGAGAAGGGCAGGAGAAUGAUGAAUGAUGAUGUGUUUCUUCAGCCCCACGUAAUCCUGCUUCAAAUUGUAAUUAGAAAUAUUGGUUUAGUUGUAGGUUAGUUUUGCUAUGUGACAUCACUGGUUUCCUUGGCCAUUUGUAACCGUAGUCUUUCAGGUAUGCGCUCUCUCGUAUUGGAAAGGUACAAAAUAGGUCUAGGAUUAGGCUGCGGGUCCCUUGAAUCGUUGAAGCGGGCCGCAGAUUCACGACCUCUGCGCAUGCGCGUAUGUCCCACUUCUUAAACUGCAAUUAAUAACAUACAGCGUUACAUAAGGAAUCUCUUUCAAAAAUCUUAAUACAUAGUUUAUAGUUCGUUUUUUGCACUGAUUCAGUAUUUUUUUUGAAGUGAAACUUCCUUAUCGGCGUUGGAAAAAAAUUUACCGUCACAUUUUUCGGUUACGCGUCACAUUUUUCCGUUACGCGCCAUCUUUUUUGUAUUCAUGUCUAUGAUAAUAAAAUCCUUUUGUUUAAACUUUAUCUAAUUUAACUUUUUUGUAUUCAUGUCUAUGAUAAUAAAAUCCUUUUGUUUAAACUUUAUCUAAUUUAACUUUAUUUAACCAAUUUCUAGAAAGUUGCAUGUAGAUCAUUUUUCGAAAAAUAAGGCCAUAAAGAAGUUUCACUUCUUACGUGUGUACACUAGUACACGCACACAUUUUUUAUUCCUUCCUUGUUAUCUUUAUGUAUAAAAGUUAAACAUGCUGUUAUUGUACCUGAUUGUAGUCGACGACUGAAGUAGUUGUGAAGAAAAUUCAGUAAACGCGGCUUUUAACCGACUUAAAAAAAACGCGUGAAGUUUUUCAAUUCGACUUAUCUAUUUUUUGCGUGCUACCUCAGAACUUUUUUCUAUGUGAACCGAUUUUGAUGAUUCUUUUUUUGAAAGGUUUGGUGCUUAUCAUAGGUUCCUAUUUAAGUUUUAUUAAGAUCUGAGCGGUAGUUUUUGAGUUAUCCUUAACGAUGCCUAUUUAAUUGACUUCGACUGCUACAUUGAUGAUAUUGUAAUUUUAUUUCGUUGAAGUCGGUAUUCUUUAUUUGUUUUAAAUUUCGGAGAAUUUAUUGUGUUGAAGUACUUAUCGCCUCAAAUUCCUCGGCCGAGUUUCGUGGGUUCGAUUCCCCUAUCGGGCCAACAUUCGUGUGAUGAACGGUUUUGUUUGCUCUUUGUCUGGGUGUUUAAUAUCUAUAUGUCUGUAUAUAUUUAAAGGUAUAUAAGGAUGUAUGACAAUCUCUGGUUCCCAUAGCACAGGGAAUCCUAGCUAGCUAGUUAGAUGACCGCGUGUGAUGUGUUCCCUGCUAUUAUUAUCAUUAAAUAAUGGCGUGACGGUAUUUGAUUGAUUUUGGAGGCUGAAAAGUCGAUGUCAAUUCAAAAAUGGAAAGGUUUAUUCGAGUGAUAUGAACAUAAAAUAAUUUUCUCAAUUAUGUACCUAUGUAGUAUAUAUCCUUCGGUUUUCACGGGUCGUAGAUCUAAUAGAAAUUAUUUUCUUACAGCUUAAUUUUUUUUUUUUUUUUUUUUUUUUUUUAUUGCCUUUGUAGGCAGACGGGCAUACGGCCCACCUGAUGGUGAGUGGUUACCGUCGCCCAUGGACUUCAGCAAUGCCAGGGGCAGAGCCAAGCCGCUGCCUACCGCUUAAUACUCUCCACAAGCCUCGUUUGAAGAAGGACAUGUCAUAGCGCUCGGGAAACACCGUGGAGGGGAGCUCAUUCCAUAGCCGGAUGGUACGUGGCAAAAAAGAUCUCUGGAAACGCACUGUGGAUGACCGCAGUGGCUCCAGGUAGUAUGGAUGAACUCUACUCCGGUGGCGGGCGGUGCGAUGGUAAAAACGAGAUGCUGGUAUCAUCUCGAACAAUUCCUCAGAGCACUCCCCAUGGAACAUACGGUACAAAAUACAGAGGGAACCGAAGUCCCUCCGCAGACCCAGAGGCUCCAUAAUAUCAUGUUUGUUUUCAUUAUCAUAAUGUUCUUUUCGACGGUUCGAGUACUUUACAUUUUUCAUGGACAUUUUUCAUAAUAAUAGGAGAUGUAUGGAAAUGGUAGUGCAAGGUAGAGGGGGAAGAGGUCGACCGAAGAAGACAUGGAUGGAGUGUGUGAAUGACGAUAUGAGAGAGAGAGGAGUGAGUGUUGAGAUGACGGCUGAUAGAAGAGAAUAAUUAGCUGUGCCGACCCCACCUAGUAGGAUAAGAUGGAGAAAAAGAAGAUUUUUCAUAAAAAUAUGAUUAAUAAAAAAAAAAAAACGAUUAUUCGUUAGGUGUCCGAUGUGUAGUUUUGAGCAGCAAUAACUCGCACUGUCUGCGGUUCUUUAAGAUUGUGUAAAUAUUUCGAAAUCGAACACCGCUUGUACGUCCGUAUCACGUCAUUACGGAUCCUCCCGAUCCGUUAACGGUGCUUUUAGGUACCUCAAGCACCGGUCGCCGUCCUUGCCGAACCCGUCGCUUGCGACAAAGGGCUCGACGAGUAAAUUAACCCACAGACACAACCCACAGUUUCUCGCCGGAUCUUCUCACUGGGUCGCGUUUCCGAUCCGGUGGCAGAUUUUGCGAAGCACUGCUCUUGCUAGGGCCAGUGUUAGCAACAGUCCCGGUUUGAGCGCCGUGAGCUCACCUACACGUCAAGGCAAAGCUGAAAUAGCCUCUCAACGCUAUCAGCAUAAAAAGAAAAAAAAACGUCCGUAUAUAACGGUCGUUAGUUGAACUAAUAAUUAAUUGCAUGAUAUUCUCUACAUCGGCCGUUUAGAAGUAGUAGUAGUAGUAGUAGUAGCAGCAGUAGUAUAGUGCGUUUUAAAGUGACCCUAAACGCCACCGAUGCUUAAUUUUCGUGAAAACUUGAAAAAUAUUUUUAUAAUACUAAGUUGUACAAUUAGUAGCAGGGUAAACGUUAGCACUGUGAUAAACUUAAAAUUAAGUUAUCGUUGUGGUGUUUGUAGUGCUAUUAAAAUGUUUAUUACCGGUUAUUAUUAAUAUUUGCCCACCACUAAAUCGCGUGUGGCUAGGAUCCACAGUGGCCACAGGAAAAGAUCUAACGAUGGGACAUGAGAUAUUGGUUUCUACAACUUACUUAAUCAGAGGACAGUACGAGGCGUAGAAAUUUUGAUUUCAGAUAUCUCUCGUCUCGAAGUGUUAGACAAAUUUUGUUACUGUUGGUAGAUAUGACUAACAUACCUGCCAUUUAAUAUGUCUGUCUUUUAUUGUGGCUUCCAAACACUCUUCAUUCUUAGAGUCAUAGUAGAUUUCACAUUAAAAUGGCCUAUCAAUUGUAUCUGUGGGAACCUAUAUAAUUUUACUAUGGUAGCUUUUACUGAGUCAGAAAUAAAUGUUGGGACUGACUAGUGCGGGCUUACAAUGCGUCCACUAACAGUAUAUAUGAGCAUUUGAUACGAAUAGUAGUGGAAUUCGUUGAUUGGUAGACGUCAGAUACAUAAUUAUGAAGAGAUGCGUUUGUUUAUAAUAAAAAUGGCGGCAUUGAUAGCGCAAACGUAAAAAUGUUGCGAAAUAAUGGUGAGAUUAUACAAAAAACAAAAUGCUCAUCAUCUCAGUCAUUAACUACUUUGUAAAAUAUUAAAUUUAGUUUUAAUUUAAGUGAACAAGAAAUUUUCUGUUUGCCUAAACGCAUUCAUCGAAGUUUCACUAAAUUUGCCCUCGCUCUGAAGUCAGUGUUCAAUAAACUAGUUCUAAGUGUUGAGGCUUAAUCGUUAAGUUAUUGUUAAGCAUUUAUUGAUUUUGUUACGAAAACGCUCGAUUCGAUUGAUAAACUCGAUUGCAAUCAAUCAUUCGAUUGUAUGUAUGAUGAUCCGUGUGAAAUAAGGAUGCGAUUUAAACUAUGAUUGAAAUCGAUUAUCGUUAUCUAAAUGAGUGUUAUUCUGGUUAACACGAAACGAUAAUCAAAAAAGUUUGAUUGUGAAAUCAAUACGCGUUUUUUUUGUUAGAUUGAUUGCAUAUUUGCGUAAAAAUUGCUUUCUUUUUUUUUGUGUACCUUUUAAUUUGAACGAAAUAAAAACUUUCUGUUUUGUAACAUCGAUACGGUUCUUCUUUGUGUGAUAUUAUAUUAAGAUUGUGUUCGAUGACUAAAAUAAGGAAUCGAAUCAUACAUCCCAUCGAUUACCGAACUAUGUUUUACUGCCAAGUUAAAUAUUAAUUACUUUAUAUGAGACGUUAAGAAUGUUGACUAAUAAAUUUUAAUUUUCAUACAAAA